UUGCCGAGUCACCCCGUGGAGCUGUCGUACUGGGUGAUACAAAAUCUGCCAUUGGACGAUGACCUGCGCCUUAAUCUGAUGGGAAUAGACAGUGCAGUGCAGAGACUUAGAUGUUCACUCAGUAUUGUACAGAAGUGUUCUUCUUUGUGCUGUAAGGAAUGCAACACAAACAUUGCCAACAAGAACGACGUGUUCAGCCUGUCCGUGGAGGGACCCCUGGGGGCCUACGUUAACCCCCACGGUCACGUCCACGAGACAAUGACCGUGUACAAGGCCCAGAACCUAAACCUCAUUGGCAGAGCCACCAAAGAACACAGCUGGUUUCCUGGUUAUGCUUGGACAAUUGCCCAGUGUAGAAGGUGUGCCUUCCAUAUUGGGUGGAAGUUCACUGCCACACGCAAAGACCUGACCCCUCCGAAAUUCUUCGGCCUAACAAGAGCAUCGGUCAUGCCUGGACUGCACCAAACAGAGGAGAACGAGGGCUGGGUACCAGUUAUGUGAUGUCACUUUUUGUGUAUGGGUUAAGAAUGAAGGAGAUAUGUAGGAAAAUUAUGGCAAUAACUAACCAUGAAUUCCAUUUUCUUUUAUGUGCCAACCAUUUAUUGCAUGUGAUAAAAAUAAGAUGAUAUGUGAAUGUGAUAAGUAUAUGUUAAGUUUGUGUUAUGCACGUUUUAUUUAAAGAGUAUGUUUUGCAUUUGUAUGAGUCUGAGAGACUGAAGUGUGAUAUGCAUUACACUUAAUGCAAAUUGAACAAGACUUUUUAAAAAUAUUUUCCAAGGUGCAUGCAACUUGGAAAAUGAGGUGAUACUGUGUACUUUUAAAAAGUAUAUUUGAAGACUAUUUUAAGGUUACAAACCUUUACAUUGGUGUGAAAUGAUCUACUUGUAAAUGAGCCAAAAGCAAAUUGUCUUGGUCUUUAUUUAUCUUUGCUCCAUUUUCAUUUAUUGGCAUUUCUAAAAGUGUAAUUGUAAUUAAUGCUCUUUUCACAAAUUCUUUUUUUGAUGUAAGAUACAUUGCUUUUGGUUGGUGAAACAUUUAAUACAUUAGAAAAAUGGUUACAUUAAUUUCCUAUGCUGGGCUAAGCAGUGAAUUAUUUGUUAAAUCUUGUCUAAAUUGUAAUUUUUCUGUAUAGGAUAUGAGGUUAAGCAUUUAUUAUGUAAAACAGUUACAAUAACUGGGCUAUUUGCUAUGAAACAAUAGUUCUGAAGACUUUUAAAAGGCAGAGUAUGAAGAACCAUGUGUGCUAUUUUGAAGACAAUUUUUGCAGAUUUUAAUCCUAUUUUAAUUAAUUUCACACAUCAUUUAGUUCAUUCAUUAUCAUCUGCAUCAAACAUUGUAAAACAUUAUCAACACUCAUUGAUACAUAAUCAUUCAUUUAUUUUGAUACAGACUUCUAUAGUAAAAAAGAAAGAAGAAAAAAAAAACUACUAAAAAUCAGUCAAAUCAUAUUCAUGCACAUUUUACAAUGUACAUGUAUAUAUGAGUACAUUAUUUUCGCUUCUGGCUUUGAAUAAAGACUUCUGUUCUUUG
rnacentral:misc_RNA from 1 species